AGUGGGAUAACUGGAUCAAAUGGUGGUUCCAUUCCAAGUUUUCUGAGGAAUCUCCAUACUCUUUUUUCCAGAGUAGUUGCACCAAUUUGCAGUCCCACCAGUAAU
rnacentral:pre_miRNA from 1 species